rnacentral:sRNA from 1 species
GAGCAUCGAUGCCACAACACUCAGCAAC